UAUUUUUCUACUGCUGUUCUUUGCAGCUUGCGGUGAGUCUGCGGCUUCCCAGCUGCUAACGUCAAUCUGCCGAGCUGAGCUGGAGGCCCCGCUAUCACCGGAGAGCCCGCUCUCAGCCGACACUGGGCAGGUCUCUGUAGACAUGCAAAAUUCAGACACAGAUGAUGGCGCUGCGAUGGCACAACACACAACCAGAGCUACCGCUAAGGCGGAAGAGGCAGCGUGUUAGGAAUGCUCCGAAAGUAUGUGGACCUUAACGGCUGAGGAACAAGCUUGACAUUAGUUUCCCUCUGAAAGGAUACCUUGCACGAGCCGAGACGUGCAGAACAAAGCGGUCUGCUGAACCUUGCACUCGUUGCACCCACUGAGAAUUCAAGGGCUGCAAGCCGUGGGCCUGGAGCACCUAGCCCGACGUGAAGAUUGUGAAUUCACGUUAAAGAAGGAGCAGAUCGCAUUAGAGAAAUGACAACUGGAAGUGGACGAACAACAGUUGGCACUGGGAGAAAGAAAAGUUGCCCUCGAGGAGGAGAAGCAUAGGUUGCCAAUUCAAACUUAAACGACACAAUCAGCUGUUCGAGCGCAUGGAGCGCAUUGUAAUUAUUUUAUAAGAGAGAAUUGCUAGUCCUAAUGCAAUCUGAAUAAUUUGUUGCAAUCAUGCAUCCCACAAGUGAAUUUAAUGGAGUACUAGAGGACAGAGACGUGCAGUUAAUAUCCUAAACAUACCAAAACAGCUUGACGUAGCUUGCUGUCAGUCACGAUUGCUUACUCAGUGAGGAUGGUAUUGGGUAAAUUACAUGGGUGAAGGCAGCUUUCAACUUGCCGUAUGUUUUUUUUUUGUACCAGCCACU